UAAUACGAAGGGGGCUAGCGUUGUUCGGAAUUACUGGGCGUAAAGGGCGCGUAGGCGGUACUUCAAGUCAGGCGUGAAAGCCCCGGGCUCAACCUGGGAACCGCGCUUGAGACUGGAGAACUAGAGUUCGGGAGAGGAUGGUGGAAUUCCCAGUGUAGAGGUGAAAUUCGUAGAUAUUGGGAAGAACACCGAUGGCGAAGGCAGCCAUCUGGACCGACACUGACGCUGAGGCGCGAAAGCGUGGGGAGCAAACAGGAUUAGAUACCCUGGUAGUCCACGCCGUAAACGAUGAGUGCUAGACGUUGGGGCCCUUAGGGCUUCGGUGUCGCAGCUAACGCAUUAAGCACUCCGCCUGGGGAGUACGGCCGCAAGGUUA
rnacentral:rRNA from 1 species